rnacentral:rRNA from 1 species
UACGAAGGGUGCAAGCGUUGUUCGGAAUAACUGGGCGUAAAGGGCGCGUAGGCGGGUUGGUAAGUUAGAUGUGAAAUCCCCGGGCUUAACCUGGGAACUGCAUCUAAUACUGCCGAUCUUGAAUGUUCGAGAGGGUGGUGGAAUUCCCGGUGUAGAAGUGAAAUUCGUAGAUAUCGGGAGGAACAUCCGAGGCGAAGGCGGCCACCUGGCGAAACAUUGACGCUGAGGCGCGAAAGCGUGGGGAUCAAACAGG